GCCUUGCUAGCUCAAUCGGUAGAGUGUAAGACUCUUACAGUCCCUCUGACCGGGUAAGAGUCUUAAGGUUACGGGUUCGAUCCCUGUGUGAGGUU